rnacentral:rRNA from 1 species
AUUGAACGCUGGCGGCAGGCCUAACACAUGCAAGUCGAGCGGAGCGGCGGACGGGUGAGUAAUGCCUAGGCAUCUGCCUGGUUGUGGGGGCUAACGUCCGGAAACGGGCGCUAAUACCGCAUACUACCAGAUGAGCCUAGGUCGGAUUAGCUAGUUGGUGGGGUAAAGGCCUACCAAGGCGACGCUCCGUAACUGGUCUGAGAGGAUGAUCAGUCACACGGGAACUGAGACACGGUCCAGAAUCCUACGGGGUGCAGCAGUGGGGAAUAUUGGACAAAGGGCGAAAGCCGUGUCCAGCCAUUGCGCGUGUGUGAAGGAGGUCUUCGGAUUGUAAAGCACUUUAAGGUAGGGGGCGUUGCCAACAAAAUGAACACCGGCUAACUUCGGGGCAGCAGCCGCGGUAAUUC